GCGCCUAAAGUGACGCCCAACAAAAAGAGUACUUCUAGCAGUGAGCUGGGCGGCGCGGCGCCAGCUCUUGGGCACCACGGCGCCCAGCGUAAAGAGAAAGAGGCAGAAUAGCUGGUGCCGUGGCGCUAGUACACAUACAUGUCACGGCGCCGCAUCUCGCAAUGCAGAAGAGUCCAAAUUUUUGGAUAUUUCUCGGCCCAAAAUGUUCCCUAACCAUCCAAAACUCGGAGAUAAUAUAAAUACCAAGAUGAAAACCUAACUGG
rnacentral:lncRNA from 1 species